rnacentral:rRNA from 1 species
UACGAAUAGUAAAUUUGUAAUCUUAGUAUUAAUAGUAAUGAUCUUUAAAUUAAAAGAAUUUGGCGGUAAUUAGUCUGUNCAGAGGAAUCUGCCCUGUAAUCGAUAAUCCAC